rnacentral:rRNA from 1 species
AAUCUACCUUCGAAUUGGGGAUAACGUUGCGAAAGCGACGCUAAUACCGAAUAACAUCCAUUAAUCUUCGGGUUUUUUGGAUCAAGGGUGGCCUCUACAUGUAAGCUACUGUUUGAAGAUGAGCCCGCGUACCAUUAGCUUGUUGGUGGGGUAAUGGCCUACCAAGGCAGCGAUGGUUAGCUGGUCUGAGAGGAUGAUCAGCCACACUGGAACUGACACACGGUCCAG